rnacentral:lncRNA from 1 species
UUUCAUGUGUGAUAUAUUAUCUACCUACUGAAAAUCACAGAAAAUCCCUUGUUUGAAACCUCUGCGCGAAAAAACCCAUAGCUAUCAAGAUUCAUUAGAUCUGUUGUUAAACGGUAAAGAAUGUCAAAAUUAAAAUGAAUAAUUAUAAUUUAUUUUUUAACAGAUUAAAUCCAAUUUUUUUAUGUGUCUAACCAGUCGAGAACCUCCACUGAACAUCUGAAAAGAUAAAGCUUAGGUGGAGCUGACUCAAUAGCACGUCGGCUUCCAUCUCUGUUCGUGUUUCUUGGCCAAGCAUUUGUUCAAAAUAUCUUUCGCAGCGUCGGAAAUAUUUUUGAGUAUUGGAUUACCAAAUCCAAUCCGUGGAAACAAUUCUGCAUCACUCCGAGCAGUCGAUCAAAUGCGUUUCCCUGUGAUCACUUCGACGGACUUCACAGCGGCGGUAGAAACUGAAAGAUGAGGAUCAACCUUUGCCGCUACAUGUACGGUUCCAUAGGUAAGGUACCUGCACCAAGAAUGCGAUCUUUACCCCAGAAACCCCAUUAAUUUUCUUUUCCUUGACUAGAAUUGGAACAAAGUAUAGUUAAUUUCCUCUCUCAAUUUCAAGUCUUCAACACCCUAAGUUCAAGGCAUUUCUCAAUCAGGUUGAGUUGCCUGCAAUUUCGCGAAGAGAAUUCUUCGGGUCGAGAAUAUAAGUCAAAGAAUGAUGGUCCUUUUGGGAUGAAAAUUUUCUGAAUUUGACAGUGAAUCUUCCUCAAGGGACUAGUUUGUUAAUGAGGGCAGCUUUUACUGAUAGUUACGUGCUGUCUAAAUAUGCAGAGGUUUUGUGGGAAGCUAUUACUGAAAUUUGUGAAGCACAGUGCAGCAAUGUGUAGGUCAUAAGGCUAAGUCAUUAAGGAAUAUAGAGGGUCAUCAUCCUUGGAUGGUUUAUCUUUGCUGUCAAUAAUAAUAUCAAGGUUUCUAUAAUCUCUGGGGAAGAAGAUGAAUUGGGGGUGGGGUGAAAAAUAAAGUUUUAAAAAUUUGGGAUUGUAGUUGGCACAUAUGAUUAAAAAAAAUAAAAAAUAAAAAAUAAAAAGUUUGGAUACUAAAAUUGUAAUUAUACCUCUUUAAUAUUGGCCUUUUUUUUUAAAAAAAAAAGGUAAUUCUGAAUGAUCUUGACGGUAGGAUUUCUUGUCAUACAAAAGUUUUCAAGUAGGGGGGGUAUUUUGCGAUUUCUAAUAGGUAUGAGGGUAUAAUGUACAUGAAAACGUUUUUAGUGAAGUUUUCUGGUAAUAAUCCUUUUUUUUUUUAAAUAUAAGUUAAUAUUUAACUUAAAAAAGUUAAAAUAAAGAUAAAUAUUUACUUAAAAUUUUAAAUCAGUAUUUUAUUACUUAUAAGUAAAUUCAAUAAUUAUAAGUUAAUUUUGUGCUUUUAAAUAAUUUUUACGCAUAAGUGAAUUUUUUAAUUAUAAGUAACAUUUUAUAUUUUAUAAAUUAAUUUUUUUCUUAUUAGUAGUAUUUUUACUUUAUAAACAAUUUUUUACACAAAAGUGAUUUUUCAAUUAUAAUGUAACUUUUUGCUUAUAAAUAACGUUCUUAGUUAAUAUAUCUUUAUUUAUAAGUUAGUUUUGUACAAAAUAUGUUGGUUGAAAAUAAUUAUUUUAUAAAUGGUAAAAUGAAAAGAAAAUAUGAAAAAAGGGUCAAAAAAUCAAAUUAAAAAUAUGCUACAUUAACUUUGGGUGGUUUUUAAGUCAUUCAAAAUCGGUGUCUAAAGAAUCUAACAAGCAUCAAUUUUUUUAAUCUCUCAUAAAUAAUGUCAUCCAAGAUAGAUUAAAAUCGGCAAAAAAGAAAAAAGUACUUUCAAGCAUGCCGGUUUAGGCUUUAGUUCCAACUUUUGACUUGACGUGGGGAAACAUCACCUUUCUACAUAUGAACAUAUUUAAUUCUUCAUUUCCCAUCACAUGUCCCAAUCCAUAAAAUUGCUGAGAUAUUUAUAGACAAGGUAGAAUUUAAUGCUAACUAAAUUUUAAAAAUUAAACAUAUUAAAAGUUAAAAACUUCAAUUCAUCGGCAAAUUCAUGUCAAGAUGAUGUUAGGAAAAAAUUACAGAGAGUUCAACAUGAUAAAUCACAUGCGAAGAUCGCUACAAGUUCGAGUGUCAAAUAUAAAGUAUAGGAAUAUAAAGCCAAAAAGCUACUGUUUGAUCAAUUAUUUAUCCUGUCUCAUCCCUUCGUUCUUCAAGAAUCAAGAUUCAUCUACAUCCACCCCAAAAGAGCGUAUACAAGAAAAAGUCAAAUCUGAUUGUCAUCUGCGGAUAGCGUUUCCAGGGGCGGGCUUCACCGUGCAACCCACCCAAAAGAGCGAAUAUUAUGCCAUCUUAGUUAUUCUAAAUAUAGUAAGUAGUAUUCGUGUAUGGUGCCUACUUCUUCUCUUUCAAGUUUUCACUCCAUUUCUAUUAGUAUUGUUGUUAACGUCAGAUUAUUGCCCAUUCCUCGUUCUCGCCUUUUUCUCGUCUUUCUUCAUUCUCUGUUAUCGUCUUAGCCUUUUGCCAUCUCUUAAUUGAGUUCAAGAUUGGAUCUUUUACAGAUCGCUCACUUGCUCAUAAUAUAAAGCAAGCAAUUGUUCAUUAAGGGGUCCAGCCAGUUGUUCCUCAUAAUAAAUUCUAUCACUGCACAGCAAGACAUACAAUCUGUUCCAGAUAAUUCAGAGAAACCAAUAUUCUCUCAGAAUCAACUUGAAACAACAAGGACCCAUACUACCGAUAUUAGUGUGGAAAAUUACAAGAAAUGGCAUCAGUGUUUUUGUACCAUGUGGUGGGGGAUCUGACGGUGGGAAAACCUGAGCUGGUUGAGUUUGCAGAGACAGAAACAGUGGAGGCCGCCAUUCGGGCCAUAGGAGAAUCCUCGGAGGGAGGAAUUCCAGUGUGGAACAAGAGAUCACAGAAGAGUGUGAUUGAGAAUGCAGAAAUGAGGCAGCAGAGAUUUGUGGGCAUCUUGAAUUCCCUUGAUAUUGUGGCAUUCUUGGCCAGAGAGGAGUGUGUGGCCGAUCAGGCUAAGGCCAUCAAGACACCAGUUUCCGAGGUUGUAAUUCACAACAAUUCUGCGCUAAAGGCGGUUGAUCCUGGCACAAGGUUCACUCUCUUACUUUAACCUGUGCUACCUUCUCAGUUUCUUGCCAGUAGCUUGAAACUUCGAAUGUUUUGGGAUUUGUGAAUAAGUUGUAUGAUUUUUCAUUUGUGAUUCUUGGUAUUAUGCAUGAAAAUUUCACAUAACCUGACUUCAGUUCUCUUUGAAACUUGGAUUUAGAGGUGUCAAAGGACCAAUGGGAGAAAUUCCAAUACGAUUAAGUUCAAAACUCUUGUCGAAUGUUUUCAGAUUAACAAGAAUGAAUGACACAAUCUCCAUAGAAAAAAUAAUGAUUGCAAAUGACGUAGAGGUGUAGAAUUUGACAACUCCAUAUAAAUGCUCAUUAACUUCACUGUUAUUUUCUCCUUAUUUACUAACCGAGGAAAAUGGAGUUUUUCAGAACCUUCACUCUUUACCAUCAUAUUUUCAAGGUUCUAAGUAAAGUCUAGAGCAUGAGAAGUAGUUAUAAUACUGCAAUAGGAUAUAAUGCAUUUGCUUAUAAACAGGGAUAUGGAACCUUAUCUUGAUCAAUUGUGAAAACGCCAUUAUAUGUUAUAAAGAUGUACUUAUGACUUGCUAUACUUGCAAAAUUAGUAGCUAUCUCUUACCAGAUGACGAAAAUAGGGGUGAAUUAGUUGAACUUUAAAUGCCAAUUCAUAAGCUAUUAUUUUAAGAGAAUUCGAUGUUUUUUGUAGCAGACAUUGUUCACUAUGGGUCAAAUCUUCUAGAAGUUGGCAAAAGGUGAUUUUAUUCCUUUUCUCUCAUUUUCUUUAUGUAUAAGUGUCGCUUUUUGUCUCUCCCACACACAAUAAGAUUCUUGUCUCAUUCACUUGUUAGGCUUCUCAUUUUCUUUAUUGUUUUGGUCAUUUGGACUGCACACAACUAAGUAGAAGUAUCCAAAUGUUGAAACGGUGAAGUGCGAGGGACAUUAGUAAUUGCAAAAACAUGACUCUAUAAGUAUAUAUUGAGUGUUAUAUAUACUUAGACAUGGCUGGACUUGACAAGUGAAUUUUAUUUUCAAAAUUUACAGAAAUUUACAUGAAAUAUUAUAAAAAUAAAUUUGGACUGUAUAUACAAUUAUAGAAGCAAUCAGUUUUGACAUUGUACCAUUGGUGGCAAAAUCUUACUUGGUUCCUGUAUUUGUUACCUCAAUGAAGUAACUAGUUAUUAUUUAGGAAGUGGAAAAUCUCUGGGGUACUAUCAUUCACUCUGUUAACUUCUAUUUGGAAAGCAUAACUUUUAUCUGGAAAAUCAAUGAAGACUCAUAAGGUUAUAAGACCUUUUGUAAAACUAAGGUUCUUGACUUUACCAACAAUCAUGUCCAACGAAAUAUAGGAUGCUCCAGAAACCCAAGAAGUGUAUGUGCAUUGUGCACCUUCCAUGGUUUAAAAAUAUCCCUUCCAGCAGUGCACCUCAGGAAGAACCUUUAUGAGGCGUACACUUCUACUGAUUGAAAUUGAAUUGGCCCUGAUUAUAAAAGAAUUAGAGAGAGCCUUCUUGAAAUUGUGUUGAUCUUCUGUAACCUACUUGUCUAGAGUUUUCUUUAUUGACUGAUGAGGGUCCCUUGCAAGUGUUUUAAGCAUUUUCUUUUCUUUUCCUUUUUUUCCCUUUCCAUUUUGUUAAUUUUGUACAUGUUCUUUCUCUCUCAGAAAAGGUGUUGCGUGAGUGCUAGAAAUAUAGUUGAUUUGAGUUUGAUGGUUUUGGCUAGGGAGUAAAAUUGCACAUACUAAUUUUAUUUAUUUAUUUAUUUUUAUAUUCAGAGAAUGUGUGUGUUGGGAUAAGGGUGCGGGGUUGGGACAAGGGAGAAAUUCUCAUAGAUUCUUUCUAUAUCUAUUCAGAUUUUAUUACAAUUUCUUUCUUUACCCCGUUCUGUUAUUUUAUUUAAACAAAUAGAUCAUACAUGGUGAAGGAUCUGUUAAAAGGUAAUUGUUGGGAAGGUGCAAUAAGGAUUUCAAAAAUGAUAUAUAUUGAUUACUGAAAGAACAGAAAACAUACAUAAAGAGCUUGCCAUCUUCUGUAAAGAAGCUGUUGCAGUGCUAUUCUAAGUAUUUCAUUCAACUUUUUUAUAUUUCUUUAAUAUGACAUAUUCCACUCUUAUUAUUGAUCGUAUUAGCUGUCACAAUGUUAGGGUAGUAAUAGCACUGACUAACUGAACUUACUAUAUUGAACUUCUUGUACUUAUUCCCUGUUCCCUACAAAGAACUAGUCUUUAGAAAUAAAAGUUCGGAAAUUAUAUACAUUUCUUCAGGGAAAUAUUGCCUCUAACAAGAUGGCUACAUUGGCAGGAGAGGUGGCUGCUUAUCUCUCUCUUUUUACUUGAAUAAUAUCUAGAGAAGGGAAAAUUAUGAAUACACGGGCAUUCUACAUGUUAGGAACAUUUGCAAGAGAAGGUGCUUGUGCGUCAUUAGUAAAAUUGCUUGAUUCACAGCCAUUCCAUUUUCUUCUAAAUAUUUGUAUAUUUUACCAUAGUUUGCAGAUGUUAAGAUUUUGAAAUGAAGGUUUUGAUCUUUUUGGAAGUCUUAUUUUAAUGUUAUUAUGUCUAUGAUGCUCUUCCAUCAACCUUUCUAAUUCUCUCUCACCCAUCUUUGAAAAUGAAGAAACAAGGCUUUAAGCCUCAAGAAGUUAACUGACUCUCUUAUCCCUUUCCUUCCAGGCUAGCAAGUGUCCUUACAAUCACAGACACAUAAAAGAAAGUAUCUUUUUAACUGGAGACGGGGAUGGGGAGUGUCUUUAAGUGCCCAUUGUUUUGUAUAACUGUACAUAUCAGUCUGUAGCACUGCAACCAGUAUGUAUAAGAAUCUGUAAUAUAGAACUUAAGUACCCAAUUAACUUUAAGAAGUCGGAAUAAUCCUUUGGAAAGCUUUAUAGUUUUCAGGCCUAAUGAUCUUUCAAACAUUAAUCUGUUUCUCCUCUGUCCUUUUACAUGUGAACUGUUCUCUUGAAUGACAUUUAUUUUACCUUUCCUUUUCAACACCGUUAUCUUCAUUUUUAUAAAGUAAAAAAUUUUGCCAAUCACUACCUUCCUUCUCUUGCUAUGGGCAGCCUGAGAUUUUUAAGGCUAUCUCUGUUUAUGCACAUGCUGAAAAUUUUAAUUGCAUUGUGAACUCCUGAUAUUUACUACUUCAAUUUAAAAAAAAAAAAAAAAAAAAUGGGAUUCCUUUGUUGUUCCAUGUGUUAAAGCUUAUGUGGGACCCAAUUAGCAUUUGUUACAUUCUCGCUUUAGUGUUCCUUAAUAGUACUUAUAAUUCUGAUAUUUGUUUCUUGUAUAAGAUUGAUAGAUGCUCUGGAGAUGAUGAAGCAAGGUGUGAAGCGACUCCUUAUUCCCAAAAGCAUAGUCUGGAGAGGCAUGAGCAAGCGCUUCUCAGUUCUAUACAAUGGAAAAUGGCUCAAGAACAUCGAGACUUCUAGUGGCAAUAACACAAACCCUAUUGCCAACACUAACCUUCCAUCGUCAUCAUCUUCCACCGACAUCAUUCAGGACAAGUUUUGUUGUCUGUCAAGAGAAGAUGUUCUACGUUUCAUCAUUGGUUGCCUUGGUGCCUUGGCUCCUUUACCACUUUCCUCAAUUGCUUCCCUUGGAAUCAUCAAUCCAAACUACUGCUCUAUUGAAGCAUCUUUCCCAGCCAUUGAUGCCACCAAAAAUCGUCCCCAUGAUCCAUGUGCAGUUGCUGUUGUGGAGCCAACGUCAGAUGGUCAAUAUAACAUCAUCGGUGAAAUAUCUGCCUCUAAACUAUGGAAAUGUGAUUACUUAGCUGCAUCAUGGGCACUUGCUAAUCUCUCUGCUGGACAGUUUGUUAUGGGGGUUGAAGAUAACCUGACAUCAAGAUCACUUCCUGAUAUUGCGCUUAAUCAAAUGGUCGGGGAAUCGAAUUUAGGUAAUGGAGGAAUCCCAGCCAGGCAAAAAAAAUUCAGCAGCAGAAGUAUUGGGUUCUUUAGCAAUGCCGCAAAUUCAAGUUUUGGGGUUGGUAGGAGCAUGUAUCGGGGUAGAAGUGCACCAUUAACGUGUAAAGUUACUAGUUCGCUGGCUGCAGUAAUGGCUCAAAUAUUAUCUCACCGGGCAACACAUGUUUGGGUUACAGAGGCUGAAAACGAUGACAUAUUAGUUGGUGUCGUAGGUUAUGCUGAUAUCUUGGCUGCAGUUACCAGACAACCGGUUCCAGCCGUUUCGGAAAGCCAGCCAUCUUGAGUUUUUGCCAGCCCAUAUUUCUGCAAGAAUUUUGGGAUAGUUGUGCUUGUUUAUGCAUUGCAUUGAUUUGUCUUGGUAAUGUUACAACUUAAACAGAAGUUUAAUGUUGUGUAAGUUGAAGUGAUUCUGAGAAUGACAUAUACCUAAAACAUAUUAGCCUGCGUCUGGGGUUUUCAGUCAGUCUUUAGUUAAAAAUUGUAUGGCCAAACUUUAAACAAACUUUGGGGAUGAGAGAUGCAAUUAUGUCUUUCCCCGUUGAACUUACAAAAGGUGCAUUUGUGUUGUAAAUAUUAUUCUUUUGGGAAUAAUAUAGGGUGUAUUUACAAUUUAUAUAUUAAACAAUAAAAG